UUAUGUAAAUGUCCACAUUGCCUCAAUAUAUAUGUGUCAAUAAAUCAAAUGUCAUUUUGACUGAUGGUUUUUCAAACCUAACAUGCUUCAAGAUGACAUCGCUCUGAAGUACCGUGCAAAAUUUCACCUUAAUAUGUCAAAAGAUGACUGAAUUACAGCUGUUUGAACUUGGGCCAAAUCUGACAAUGCUAGCGACUGGUUCUUUUUUUAUACAGAAACUGAAAGCAGAAAUACUCAGCAAUGUGAAUAGCUAAUUUGGUUAAGAUGUUGUACUGGUAAGUGAAGGGUCAGAGGUUCAAAUCCAGCCAUAGCCAUAAUUUUUUUGUUUAAGAUUCAGACAAAAAGACAUGUUUUUUAGGAUUCCUCCAUCGGGAGGGUUUAAUCCUUUCGCACGUAAAUUGUAAAUGAUUUAACUGAUACCCCCAGCAUGAAUUUUUUUUCGGUGGUUAUUUUACAACGUAUCAAAUUUUAAACUCCAGUGUGAUGCACCAAGCUUGUCACAUGACACUCUGGGCAGUCACAUGACGGUUCACCGCUGACUAGUCUCGCUUGGAGCUGGAGGACAGAGUAUAGGUAAGCGUUGCAAGUCAUGUUUUUUUUCUUCAGUUUAAAACCUUCCUCGUUGGUUUAAAACAUGUAUAAACUAUAAUAAAUGUUUUAACCACCGGUUUAUAUUGACAUUUAUUUCUUUUAUUUUCUCGGGCUUUGAAUUUCACUCCCACGUGUCACUCCAGCGCAUUACAGGAUUGCUACUGUUCUCAGUAAUGCUUUUGUGUGUGGUAUCAAAACAUGGGCUAACACAAAAGGGAGUGUUGCACAGCUCUCAUGUACUCGGCCCUGUAACAUGGCUGGGAGAAUGUGGGACUGGUAUACCAGUAUCCUUCCUCACAUUACAUCAGACAUAGAGAUCCCAAGCCUCUCAUAAUGGUGUAAACUGUUGAAAUGCCAGCCUGCCCUUCCACUUUGUCACUGAUUCAUCCAUGGAGAGGAACAAAAACAUGCUGAAAGAAGUGUUAUUCACUUGUAAGUUGUAAAUGUCCUGAGUCUGCGCGAUGUGAAGUACUAUGUUACUUGGCUCUGCUUCAUCAAGAGGCAUAAUAAAUGACAUAUUGAAUAAUAAUGAAAUGUUAGUUAGUAAUUUUAAGAACUACUUACAAAUUUCAUUAAAAAAAAACAACAA